GGAGAGUGGGCCGGAUGGUAAGGCACAGGUUUGCUAAACCUGCGGGGUCUUAAAGCCCCGAGUGGGUUCGACUCCCACACUCUCCG
rnacentral:tRNA from 1 species